UGAAUACGAGAUGCUACGGCGUCGAAGCAGUCUAUGUCAUACUUCCAAGAAAAGCUCGCACUGUCAUAAACAAAUAAUGCCUGUACCAUAACCGACACAGGUGGGUAGGUAGAGUAUACUAAGGGGCGCGAGAUAACUCUCUCUAAGGAACUCGGCAAAAUGACUCCGUAACUUCGGGAGAAGGAGUGCCUUAUUUAUAAGGUUGCAAUAACAAGAUCCAAGCAACUGUUUAUCAAAAACACAGGUCUCCGCUAAGUCGUAAGACGAUGUAUGGGGGCUGACGCCUGCCCAGUGCCAGAAGGUUAAAGAAGUUGGUUAGCAUUCGCGAAGCUGAUAACUGAAGCCCUGGUGAACGGCGGCCGUAACGAUAACGGUCCUAAGGUAGCGAAAUUCCUUGUCGGGUAAGUUCCGACCCGCACGAAAGGCGUAAUGAUUUGGAUACUGUCUCGGAGAGGGGCUCGGUGAAAUAGACUUGUCUGUGAAGAUGCGGACUACCUGCACCAGGACAGAAAGACCCUAUGAAGCUUUACUGUAACUUGAGAUUGAAAUUGGACUUUACUUGCGCAGUAUAGGUGGGAGGCGUUGAUAAUAUUCUUGCGGGAUUAUUUGAGCCAUCAGUGAGAUACCACUCUUGUAAUGUUAGAUUUCUAACUUUGUAUCAUUAUCUGGUCAAAGGACAGUUUCAGGCGGGCAGUUUGACUGGGGCGGUCGCCUCCUAAACGGUAACGGAGGCGCACAAAGGUUUCCUCUGAACGGGUAGAAAUCGUAUCUAGAGUGUAAAGGCAUAAGGAAGCUUGACUGUGAGACCUACAAGUCGAGCAGGGACGAAAGUCGGUCUUAGUGAUCUGACGGUGCUGAGUGGAAAGGCCGUCACUCAACGGAUAAAAGUUACUCUAGGAUAACAGGCUGAUCUCCCCCAAGAGUUCACAUCGACGGGGAGGUUUGGCACCUCGAUGUCGGCUCAUCGCAUCCUGGGGCGGUAGUACGUCCCAAGGGUUGGGCUGUUCGCCCAUGAAAGCGGUACGCGAGCUGGGUUCAGAACGUCGUGAGACAGUUCGGUCCAUAUCCGGUGUAGGCGUUAGAAUAUUGAGAGGAGCCUUCUUUAGUACGAGAGGACCGAGAAGGACAUACCUCUGGUGUACCAGUUAUCGUGCCAACGGUAAACGCUGGGUAGCUAUGUAUGGAGUGGAUAACCGCUGAAAGCAUCUAAGUGGGAAGCCCACCUCAAGAUAAGUAUUCUCAC
rnacentral:rRNA from 1 species